ensembl:lncRNA
UUUCUUUGAUUCCAAAAUUCAACAAUCAAACAGAUAAACAUAAGCUAUGUCCCUGAAGGCACCAUCUCAUGUGGUCUCCGUAGUGUAGUGGUUAUCACGUUCGCCUAACACGUGGAAGGUCCCCGUUUCGAGACCGGGCGGAAACAGCUGUUGAUGUUUCCUUCUUGAUUCCGAACUUCAACAAUCAAACAGAUAACCAUACGCUAUGUCCCUGAACGCACCAUCUCAUUUGGUUUCCGUAGUGUAGUGGUUAUCACGUUCGCCUCACACGCGAAAGGUCCCUGGUUCGAGCCCGGGCGGAAACAGUCGUUGGUGUUUCUUUCUUUGAUUCCGAACUUCAACAAUCAAACAGAUAAACAUGCGCUAUGUCCCUGAACGCACCAUCUCAUGUGGUUUCCGUAGUUUAGUGGUUAUCACGUUCGCCUUACACGCGGAAGGUCCCCGGUUAGAGACCGGGCGGAAACAGUUUUUGAUGUGUUUUUCUUUGAUUCCGAACUUCAACAUUCAAACAGAUAUACAUAAACUAUGUCCCUGAACGCACCAUCUCAUGUGGUUUUCCGUAUUGUAGUGGUUAUCACGUUCGCCUCACACGCGAAAGGUCCCCGGUUCGAGACCGGGCGGAAACAGUCGUUGAUCUAUUUUUGUCUAUAUUCCGAACUUCAGCAAUCAAACAGAUAAACAUAAGCUAUGUCCCUGAACGUACCAUCUCAUGUGGUUUCCGUAGUGUAGUGGUUAUCACGUUCGCCUAACAUGCGAAAGGUACCCGGUUCGAGACUGGGCGGAAACAGUCGUUGAUGUUUUUUUCUUUAUUUCCAACUUCAGCAUUCAAACAGAUAUACAUACGCUAUGUCCCUGAAAGCACCAUCCCUGGUGGUUUCCGUAGUGUAGUGG